AUUGAACGCUGGCGGCAUGCCUAACACAUGCAAGUCGAGCGGGUGAAGGGAGCUUGCUCCUGGAUUCAGGGGCGGACGGGUGAGUAAUGCCUAGGAAUCUGGCUGGUAGUGGGGGAUAACGUCCGGAAACGGGCGCUAAUACCGCAUACGUCCUUAGGUAGAAAGUGGGGGAUCUUCGGAUCUCACGCUAUCAGAGGAGCAUAGGUCGGAUUAGCUAGUUGGUGGGGUAAAGGCCUACCAAGGCGACGCUCCGUAACUGGUAUUAGAGGAUGAUCAGUAACACUGGAACUGAGACACGGCCCAGACUCCUACGGGAGGAAGCAGUGGGGAAUAUUGGACAAUGGGCGAAAGCCUGAUCCAGCCAUGUCGCGUGUGUGAAGAAGGUCUUAGGAUUGUAAAGCAAUUUAAGUUGGGAGGAAGGGCAGUAAGUUAAUACCUUGCUGUUUUGACGUUACCAACAGAAUAAGCACCGGCUAACUUCGUG
rnacentral:rRNA from 1 species